GGGUUAGGAAAGGUUAGAAUUAAGGAUCCCGGUCCAAUGCACAGGCCAUCACAGCUCUCCACCAGGGCCUAAGGCCUACCUCUCAUUGAGGCCUUGGGGGUGAAGCGUGCCGAGUCUGGCGAUCCAAAUACGUUCGGCUCGCCGUCUUUGAGCCACACUCCAUUUUGGGUCCGCCUCCAGGACUGAGGCCCGGACAGCGUCCCAUCCGUGGAGGAGGAAGUGUCCCACCACUAAGGUCUGGUGCUUGAAAAAUUGCCCGUGACCCCUGGGUGCAGAGGUCAACAAAGGCGAGAGUUUUGCUUUAACAAGGUAGGAUUGCAGAUUUCUGUUCCUCCUAUAGGCUGCAAUGAUCCUCCUGUUCUGCAGCAGGUCUGUCCCUCCAAGGAUAGAACUAAAAUUGCUCCUGAUUGCUCUCACCAAUUUCACAGUGGAUGGUGAGUAUGUAGUGACAAAGGGGAGGAUUGGAGAGGUCUGUUUGGGCCUAGUCUCCAGAAAUGUUUUCAGACACUUUCUCAGGAAAGAGCGACAGUACCCUCUGGUGGCCAAAACCGAGAACAGCGUCUUAGUGGCCUGUUUAAAAUCCCCCUUGUCACUACAGAUCCUGUGAAAACGGAGCAGCUGGGACUUCACCAGCCCAGCAAAGGCUGUCGAUGUCCAGUGUGAACAACAUGGCGUCCUGGGGAAUGUGAAGUGUCCUGAUUGUUUCCACAAAGUGGUGUCACUGCUGCAGUCAGAGACUAUGGGUCGGCCUGGAGGGAUUUCAUGCGGCCUGCUCCACUUUGUGGGAUCCUUGUGGAUCUUCGGCAGCAUGUAGAAUAGUCUCGCCCUGGGUUCAGAGGUGCCGAGAAGCUGCCUGUAUCCCUCCCACAGCUCCUCCAGAGCCACAGCCUCCUCAGGGCUGAGGUUCGGCCUGUUGUGGCUGAUCCGAAAGUGCUGAUCAAAGUGAUCCAGGUCAGCUGUGACGAGGGUAACGAGCAUGGGUGGCAAAGUGCCCUCAGGUGGGGUCCAGGUCGAGGCAGGGGUGAAUUUAGGGGGGUCUGUGACCUCUUUAUCUUGAAAAUGUGUUGCUAAUUUUAAUCUUCUGUGGUAUUGUUGAAUAUCCCACCUACUCUGUUCUAUUAUAUUUUUGUUGCUACCUUUAGUGGGGAUAAAAUUAAGGCCUCUGUUAAGCAGGGUGAGUUGUGGGAGUGUUAAUUUAAAGUGUUUUGCUAACACUAAUACAUUUUUAUUCCCCUCCUGUGCUUGCAGGCUUAUGGGGAUUUCUAGUUUAAGUGCUGGCCCCAGUGCUGCAGCAUGAGACCAGCAGUCUCCCGGGUCCAAUGGAUCUUGUCCU